GCGCAAUUCUUCGUGGAGAUCACGUUGCUGACCUGGUCGGCCGCGAUCCUCGUCGUCGCCUCUCCUGCCGCGACGGCGGUUGUUGUUGUUGACGUUGUCGUUAAUGGGUGGGUUGGCGUUCUGCUCCACCUCUUCUUCGUGGACUGGCUCCAGCCAACCUCCCGCGCGGUCGCCUCGACGGUGGUCGGAUCUGCGCGGUCGCCUCGGCGGUGGUAAGAUCUUAUGCCCAAACCGGCUCCGAGAGUGCCCGGUAGCUAUGGACCAAGAGUGUGUGGACCGGUUGUGGGUCUGCUUCUCGAUCUAGGCGUUGGCGUCUUGAAGACGCGCCCGGAUCCGCCGGAUUUGCUCCGAGUCCGGAAGGUUUUCCAGGUCGGCGAAGGUAGCCCCCAGGUUGGCCUGGGUUGUGGGGAAGAUAUUGUGGUCGGCCUCCUCGAGGUCGGCUAGUAGACUGCGGGCGCACGCAGGGCGCCUGUGUUUGGCCCGGGCACCGUCCUGGUUGGUGUUGCCAUCAUCGUUGCGCGGUGGUUGGCGCUGGUCGCAUGCUGCCCCUGCAUUAGCAUUAGGUUGCUGUUGGGCGUUUGCUUGCUCCUGUUGGCGCCAUGCCGUGCGGUUCUGAUUUCUGACAUUGCGGCCUCCUUCCUGAGAAGAAGUUUCACUAUCCUGGGAUGGCUCGUCAGUGGAGACCACGAAUGUUUC
rnacentral:lncRNA from 1 species